rnacentral:rRNA from 1 species
GACGAACGCUGGCGGCGUGCUUAACACAUGCAAGUCGAACGGAAAGACCUGCUUUCCCUUGUGGAUUGCGGGUACUCGAGUGGCGAACGGGUGAGUAACACGUGAGUGAUCUGCCCCCAACUUGGGUAUAAGCCUGGGAAACUGGGUCUAAUUCCCGAUAGGACUGCAGGGUGGUGCCUGUGGUGGAAAACGAUUUUCUAGUGGUUGGGGAUGAGCUCGCGGCCUAUCAGCUUGUUGGUGGGGUAAUGGCCUACCAAGGCGGCGACGGGUAGCCGGCCUGAGAGGGUGGACGGCCACAUUGGGACUGAGAUACGGCCCAGACUCCUACGGGAGGCAGCAGUGGGGAAUAUUGCACAAUGGGCGGAAGCCUGAUGCAGCGACGCCGCGUGGGGGAUGACGGCCUUCGGGUUGUAAACUCCUUUCGACCGCGAGGAAGCCACCUGGUUGGAAGGGUGGUGACGGUAGUGGUAGAAGAAGCACCGGCUAACUACGUG